AUGAACGCUGGCGGCGUGCCUAAUACAUGCAAGUCGAGCCAACAGAUGAGGAGCUUGCUCCUCUGACGUUAGCGGCGGCCGGGUGAGUAACACGUGGAUAACCUACCUAUAAGACUGGGAUAACUUCGGGAAACCGGAGCUAAUACCGGAUAAUAUAUUUAACCGCAUGGUUCAAUAGUGAAAGACGGUUUUGCUGUCACUUAUAGAUGGCUCCGCGCCGCAUUAGCUAGUUGGUAAGGUAACGGCUUACCAAGGCAACGAUGCGUAGCCGACCUGAGAGGGUGAUAGGCCACACUGGAACUUAGACACGGUCCAGACUCCUACGGGAGGCAGCAGUAGGGAAUCUUCCGCAAUGGGCGAAAGCCUGACGGAGCAACGCCGCGUGAGUGAUGAAGGUCUUCGGAUCGUAAAACUCUGUUAUUAGGGAAGAACAAAUGUGUAAGUAACUAUGCACGUCUUGACGGUACCUAAUCAGAAAGCCACGGCUAACUACGUG
rnacentral:rRNA from 1 species